AACGAACGCUGGCGGCGCGUCUUAACCAUGCAAGUCGAGCGGCAGGCAGCAAUGCCGAGAGCGGCGGACUGGUGAGUAACACGUGGAUAACGAACCCCGAUGCCCGGGACAGCCUGUAGAAAUAGAGGGUAAUACCGGAUAGAUCACUGUUUACGUGAGGUAGACAGCGGGAAAGGAGCUUCGGCUCCGCGCCGGGAUCGGUCUGCGGCCCAUCAGCUGGACGGCGGGGUAAAGGCCCGCCGUGGCGAGGACGGGUAUCCGGCCUGAGAGGGCGGACGGACACAUUGGGACUGAGAUACGGCCCAGACUCCUACGGGAGGCAGCAGGUAAGAAUAUUCCGCAAUGGGGGGAACCCUGACGGAGCGACGCCGCGUGAACGAAGAAGGCCGGAAGGUUGUAAAGUUCUUUUCUGUCCGAGGAAUAAGUGUAGGAGGAAAUGCCUGCAUGGUGACGGUAGGGCAGGAAUAAGCACCGGCUAAUUACGUGCCAGCAGCCGCGGUAACACGUAAGGUGCGAGCGUUGUUCGGAAUUAUUGGGCGUAAAGGGCAUGCAGGCGGGUCGCCAAGCUUGGUAAGAAAUACCGGGGCUCAACUCCGGAGCUAUAUUGAGAACUGGCGAGCUAGAGUUGCCGAAGGGUAUCCGGAAUUCCGCGUGAAGGGGUGAAAUCUGUAGAUAUGCGGAAGAACACCGAUGGCGAAGGCAGGAUACCGGCGGACGACUGACGCUGAGGUGCGAAGGUGCGGGGAGCAAACAGG
rnacentral:rRNA from 1 species